CGGAAUGUAGCGCAGCCUGGUAGCGCACUUGCAUGGGGUGCAAGGGGUCGCGAGUUCGAAUCCCGCCAUUCCGA
rfam:Comamonas testosteroni CNB-2, complete genome.